AAGAUUCUUGAGUUCCAAGGUCUAAAGGAGAUGGGAGCAGGGGCUGGGGACUUGGUAUGAGGCACAGAAGUGCACAUCUAUGAGAACUCCUGUGAUUAUGACUUUCAACACCCAGGCCUGGGCCUCUGGGACCAUGGUGGAGAGCAGGCUGUCCCACAAAGCAGGUUCCUAUGCACUUCAUGAGGGACCCUUGAGGAAUCUUAAACUGCCAGGCCAGAGGCAGCAAUGUUUGCUGCUGAUUUGACGUGGGUGUGAGCAGAGGAUAGAAAAGGUGGUUUCAAGGCUUUUCACCUAAACAACUGGAAAGUGGCCAUGGAAAAGACAACUAGAGUUCCUCAGAUCUUCCAGAUAUUCCCCUACAUUAUCAAGACUCUCUUGCAGAAUGAGCAGAAUUCCAGAUGUUCCCCUACAUCACCAAGACUCUCUUGCAGAAUGAGCAGAAUCUGCACUGUGUCACUUCUGGAUGGAGGUAGCUAGAAAUCAGUGUGCUCUCUCCUACGCCCUUUCUCCCACUGCACCCCACUGGAAUACCAAGCAUUCCAAAUGGCACAGUGAGAAGCUUCAAAAGGGACUGGCCCAUAUUAGACUGUGAUGUGAAUGAAAAAUAUGUAUUUAUUGUAAUCAGUCACUGGUAUUUUAGACAUUUGUAUUACUAUUUAAUUACACACCUAUACUACUUAAGCCAACAUUCUUAAAAUAGACUAAAUCUAAAAUAUAAAAAUUAUAUAUAUAUGCAAAUGUGUCUCUAUAAGCUGUCUCAAUUAUUCUUCGAAUGUCUUUGUGACUGUUUAUACAUGUGAAGAUCCCAUGGGUGUAUGAGUGAAUUCCAUGAAGAGUGAGAACAUUAAAUAUUAAAUACAACUCUUUA
rnacentral:lncRNA from 1 species